ACGCUAGGUACGGUCGGAAAUCGUGCUGAUAGUGCAAUGGCAUAAGCGUGCUUAACUGCGAGACCGACAAGUCGAGCAGGUGCGAAAGCAGGUCAUAGUGAUCCGGUGGUUCUGUAUGGAAGGGCCAUCGCUCAACGGAUAAAAGGUACUCUGGGGAUAACAGGCUGAUACCGCCCAAGAGUUCAUAUCGACGGCGGUGUUUGGCACCUCGAUGUCGGCUCAUCUCAUCCUGGGGCUGUAGCCGGUCCCAAGGGUAUGGCUGUUCGCCAUUUAAAGAGGUACGUGAGCUGGGUUUAAAACGUCGUGAGACAGUUUGGUCCCUAUCUGCCGUGGGCGUUGGAUAUUUGAAGGGGGCUGCUCCUAGUACGAGAGGACCGGAGUGGACGAACCUCUGGUGUACCGGUUGUCACGCCAGUGGCAUCGCCGGGUAGCUAUGUUCGGAAGAGAUAACCGCUGAAAGCAUCUAAGCGGGAAACUCGCCUUAAGAUGAGAUAUCCCUGGGGACUAGAUCCCCUUGAAGGGUCGUUCGAGACCAGGACGUUGAUAGGUCGGGUGUGUAAGCGCAGUAAUGCGUUCAGCUAACCGAUACUAAUUGCCCGUAAGGCUUGAUCCUAUAACA
rnacentral:rRNA from 1 species